rnacentral:lncRNA from 1 species
UGGUAGAGACAUUGAAGAAAGUGAGUGGAUUGCUGAAAUGCCCUUGAACAAGCUAUGUGGACACCGACAUUUCUUUUGGGUGCCGCACAACAUCUUAAACAUGACUUGGUUUCUCCUUUUUAUUAUGAAAUGAUGCAUCUUCUCUUUGGGGGAUAAUGAAGUUCAAAUGGCAAGAUGAACAUAUUCGGUAUUAAUGCUAGAUCUAUUUAUCCCAACGAAUAAAGAAUUUGUGGACUAUUUCCGUGUGUGUUUUUAUAUGAUAUUAAAAAUAAAGUGUUCUUUGGAGAGUGACAUAUGUUCAAUUAUAAUUUACGACUUAGCCAUAGGGUUUGCUGUUAUAAAGGUUCGAUCACAUUGUAUAAACAAAACAUAAUAUUAUUUUCAGUAUGUUUAUACCAUUAACAAUGUAUUUUUCGCACCAGGCCUUCCUAAUAUUCUGGCGGCCGAUGGUAGAACUCCGCCAGAGAUGUGCCCUCCUAUUUCAAGCAGUAUGUCGAACCGCCUUUGAUGGACUCAAACAUCACUAAUCCUCCUGGUCUGAUGGCCUGAUGGGUGGUAAAAUUGUGAGUGAUAGGGUUUUUGAACCGCAAGAGAUGGCCCGCUCUUUACUAGUGUGAAAAUUCAGUCUUGUCCAAUCUGCCCAGUUCAUGAUGUUUUUAUUCAUGGACUAAUUUUCUGUACUCGUGGGAGUAUGUACUUCCAUCUACAGUAUAACUUAUAUACGCAUUGAUUAUAUCUUUUUAUCAUGCUCAAUAUACUUCAUUAAAUAUUCUAAGAUAUCUCAAUACGAGUUUUGUUGAAAAAA